rnacentral:rRNA from 1 species
UACGUAGGGUGCGAGCGUUGUCCGGAAUUAUUGGGCGUAAAGAGCUCGUAGGCGGUUCGUCGCGUCGGCUGUGAAAACCUGAGGCUCAACCUCAGGCCUGCAGUCGAUACGGGCGGACUUGAGUACUGCAGGGGAGACUGGAAUUCCUGGUGUAGCGGUGAAAUGCGCAGAUAUCAGGAGGGAACACCGGUGGGCGAAGGCGGGUCUCUGGGCAGUAACUGACGCUGGAGGA